rnacentral:ribozyme from 1 species
AAGCACGAAGUGAAUGAGAGAAAGAAAAAAAGCACAAAAGGAAAAAGAGCGGUGUGUGUGUUCUUUCUUUCUUCAUUUCA